AGAGUUUGAUCCUGGCUCAGGAUGAACGCUAGCGGCGUGCCUAAUGCAUGCAAGUCGAACGGGAUCCUUUGGAUUCGUCUAGAGGUGAGAGUGGCGAACGGGUGAGUAACACGUUGGUGACCUACCCCAGAGAGGGGAAUAACUAUUGGAAACGAUAGCUAAUACCCCGGAUGUCCUCAUUGUUAGAGAGUGAUGACUGAAGUUCCGGCGCUCUGGGAGGGGCCUGCGGCCCAUCAGCUAGUUGGUAAGGUAAUGGCUUACCAAGGCUAAGACGGGUAGGGGGCGUGAGAGCGUGAUCCCCCACACUGGUACUGACACACGGACCAGAUACCUACGGGUAGCAGCAGCAAGGAAUAUUGCCCAAUGGACGAAAGUCUGAGGCAGCAACGCCGCGUGGAGGAUGAAGGCCUUCGGGUUGUAAACUCCUUUUAUGGGGGAAGAGAAAGGACGGUACCCCAUGAAUAAGUCUCGGCUAACUACGUGCCAGCAGCCGCGGUAAAACGUAGGAGGCGAGCGUUAUCCGGAUUUACUGGGCGUAAAGCGCGUGCAGGCGGUAUCUUAAGUCGGACGUGAAAGCUCCUGGCUCAACUAGGAGAGGUCGUUCGAAACUAGGAAACUUGAGGGUGGUAGAGGAGAGUGGAAUUCCCGGUGUAGUGGUGAAAUGCGUAGAUAUCGGGAGGAACACCAGUGGCGAAGGCGGCUCUCUGGGCCAUUCCUGACGCUAAGACGCGAAAGCUAGGGGAGAGAACGGGAUUAGAAACCCCGGUAUUCCUAGCCGUAAACGAUGUCAACUAGGUGUAGGGGGUAUCCAACCCCCCUGUGCUGUAGCAAACGCAUUAAGUUGACCGCCUGGGGACUACGGCCGCAAGGCUAAAACUCAAAGGAAUUGACGG
rnacentral:rRNA from 1 species